rnacentral:antisense_RNA from 1 species
GUCAUUUCUUUUCUGUUUUCCUCUCCCUCCUCCUCCACUCUGCUCAGGUCCCUCUCACCCUUUUUUUUUUUUUUUUUUAACGCUACGCCAUAGUCCCCGGGAGAAUUCAGAUCCCAACCGGGGCUUCCGGAUUCUGUAGUGGCUUUGGCCUGUGUCUGGUCUGAGGACGCCGGGAAGGCAUUGCACUGAGGCUAAGGGAAAGGUCUUCUGGAGGGAGCCUCAGGAAGAGCAAAUGGAGGCCAGAGACUGGAAGGAGCGCGCCAGCGCAGGACUUAAUCCCGACGAGCGGAUUCAGAGCCGUGCUUAUAUAAAGCUUCAGGAAGCGCCCUUCCGACGAUGAGGCCGACACGCGAGAGGCGACCUCAAGGGCGGCGGCGCCAGGGAUCUGUGCGCCAAGGAGGACGGGAGGGAGCAGGUUCGCCAUAAUCCUGGCUCUAGGCUCUGUUUUGUUGGACCGAGCAACUGUAUUUUAGCUCACACAGGAGAAUUCUAGCCCUGGAAAAAAUUGGUCUCAGCAUGCUGCCAAGCUUUCUCAUGGAGGUCAGCGAAUCCCAACACACUGUCGGUCAAAGCCGUGCUGGAAGAAACAAAACAGUUCUCCCUCGGUAGAACUGAGGGGGCAUUGGUCCAGGGCUCCCGCGGAUACCAAAAUCCAGGUUGCUCAAGUCUCUCAUAGAAAAUGGCGUAGUAUUUGCACGUAACUAUGCACAUCCUCCCGUGUACUUUAAAUAGUCUCUUAAUUACUUUAUAACACCUAAUCCAGUGUACAUGCUAUGUAAGUAAUUGUUAUAGUGUUUUAUUUUUACUAUCUUUGUUUGUACUUUUUUUAAAAAAAGAAAUUCAUUUGUUAGUAUUUCGAUCUUGGGAACCCGCGUAUAUGGAGGGCCUGCUACAUAGAGAAGACUGAGGGAUAUUCUGUGCAUCCGUUUCUGCGGAUCCUCCAAAUCGGCCGUUGUUUUCAGCCAGGAUUUAGUGCCCAACUGUGUCCUUUGGAGGCCCCACAUGGAGCUAGCAAAGUUUGCUAAAUCGGGUUUUUGCAAGAGGACUGUCUGCUCCAUACUGAGAGUAAUUACCACAAACUGCCCUGUGAAGUUGGUUGGGGUUCUUACUGUUAGCACGUUUAUUACUUUAUCAGGGCUCUCUGUAGGAGAGUCUAUGAGAAAAUCUUCUGGCUUCUGCUGAAAGAAUCGUGUUUUGUUGGGGUUUUUUUUUUUUUCCCGAAAAUAUUAUUUUAAAAACU